AAUACAAAAAUUAGAAUUUAAAUUUAAUUUUAAAUUCUAGAAUUCAAAUUUAAAUUCAAAUAAAUUAUAGAAUUCAAAUUUAAAUUUAAAUUCUAGAAUUCAAAUUUAAAUUUAAAUAAAAAUUAGAAUUUAAAUUUAAAUUCUAGAAUUCAAAUUUAAAUAAAAAUAAAAUUUAAAUAUUUAGAUUUAAAUAUAAAGUCAUAAAUUUGAAUUUAAAAUUUUAUAUUGAAUUUUAAUUUAUAAAUAAAAUUUAAAAUGUGAUCAUAAUUUUAAUUCAAAUAUAAAGUGAAAUUAAACUUUAAAAAUAAAUUUAAAUAUUAAAGUUAAGACAGAAUAUAUAACCUCUCAGUUAAGCUCUUCAUUUUCGGUGACUUGUGAAUUUUUUGAGUCGAAGUCAAAAAAGUGAGAUUUAGUUAUAACUCACUUUAUCAGGCUACUUUCGUAAAGCGACUUUUAUAUUUACUUUCGUAAAUCAAACAACUGAUAAGACAUCACUUUCUAAAAGUACCACUUUCGAUACUACACUUUCGGCGAACCAAACAUGCCCUUAGAGGGAGUGGUG
rnacentral:lncRNA from 1 species